rnacentral:lncRNA from 1 species
UAUUCCUUGUAUUAUCAUUUAUUUUAUUGGUUGGCAAAGUGAAUUAUUUCUCGUAUUAUGAGUUUCUUAGUUAGAUGAUGAGACCUUGUCACAGUUGUGUUGCGAGAAUGGACUAUGCCGCCGCAGAUGAACCCUGGGAUGAUUCGCUGGUGCUGCCGCGUGCCGCUCGCCUGAAUUUGCUGCGGAAACCAGAUCCCGUAUCACCGACUCACCGUAUGUGUCGGUCCGCGCCCAGCCUCUGCAAUUCUCAAUCAUCCCUAGCUGGGCUACCACUGCACUACGCAAUUACCGCUACCACCGUCAGGUCAGGUGAACGAAAACUCUCAGGUUCGUAGCCAUCUCGGGUUGAGCUGAUGCUUUGUGGACUUGUUGCUUAAAUUUAGCCCACCACACGAAAACAUGGCCCAUGAAACGCUCCACAAAUGGCUCAAUAUGCGUAUAGACAGAACUGAGGUUCCUGCACGAGCCCAUGCGGUCAUGCGGCACAGUAUCACUACGCGUCUACGCCUCCGCCACAGUCGCUAGCAAUACGAGUACCAAACAGCCCAGAGAGCAAGGACUAGCUGAUGAUAUAAAGAUUACUCUGAACGCAACGACAUGUAGCAAGCUGUGACGAAAAGCAGUAGCACUGGUGGGUCCGGUGCUUUCUUCUGAACCUUUGAAGACAUAAGCGUAUCUGAGCUUGUCCCUUUUUUUUUCUUACUGAAUUUCAAAGUUGAUUCAGCGAAUUUCAGUGAAUUCUUCCGAUACGCUUAUCUGUUGCAAGCUCUGUCUAAUCAUAAAAGACAUACUCUAUUCAUCAGCAUUAUUGAAUGAGAUUAAAGCAUACUCAAGAUUUUUUAUUGAUUGUUUCCGUUCUCUAUAUAAUAUUUUUUUUAAUUUGACUAACUGAUGUUAUUGUUUACUCCAUUCAAUAUGUCUUGUUAAACACGGCCAAUGAAGUGAUCGAUUAGAAGAGAGUUCACAACGACUGAUUGAACAAACAGAGAUUAUAGAAUGACAUAAUUUCACGGUACAGAGACUAAAUAAGAGAAAUUUUG